AUGCUUAGAGUGGUAGAAAAGUGGUAGACCUUGGUUUUCUCAUAUGUGAAACAGGAAUGGAAAUUAUUACUUGGGAAGAUUGUUAGAAAUAUCAAGUGAGUCAAUGAGGUGAUGCUUCUGACACAUAGGAGGAUUACCACAAAUAUAAAUGCCCUACUCUUCCUUUCCCCCUAUUUGUUCCUACCUAGCUCAAAAGCUUGUUCAACUUUGUAAAUUUCCUCAGCCUCAGGUUUCGCUGGGCUCACUUCCAUAUUUGUGUGGCUCAUUCAGGUCUAUGGCAGAAAGGUAUACAUGAGUAAUUAGGAGUCCUCAAGUCAGUGUUUUAUGUGACAUUCAAUGUUAUCGGGAAGAUCUCUGCCAAAUAUGAAUGCUCAAGUAAUUUAUUCAAAAUGGCUUUAAACCUUCACUUGGCCAUUAACAAAAGUGGUUAUUGGGAUCACAAAACAAAACCUGAUUAUAUUCUUAUAAGUUGUAUUUUUUUUAUUUACUUUUUUUAGGGCUGCACCUGUGGCAUAUGGAGGUUCCCAGGCUAGGGGUCCAUCGGAGCCAGCCGUAACCACCAGCCUAUGCCACAGCUAUAGCAAUGUGUGAUCUGAGCUGCAUCGGUGAGCUACACCACAGCUCACUGCAAUGCUGGAUCCUUAACCCAGUGAGCAGGGCCAGGGAUCGAACCUGUGUCCUCAUGGAUCCUAGUUGGGUUUGUUAACUGCUGAGCCAUGACAGGAACUCUAAGAAUUAUUUAUUGAGUGCCUGUUAUGUGCCAGGCACUGUUCUAGGCACUGGUAAUAUAGCAGUCAUAAAACAAAGAUUUACAAGGAUUUUUCUCCCCAUGGAACAUAUAUCCCAGUGGGGAGAAGAGAAAAUAAAAAGUCAGGUUAACAAAUAUGUUAAUUAUACAGUAUGUUAGAAGAUGAUGAGUGCUAAGGACAAAAAAAAAAAAAGUAGAGCAGGAAAGGGGGAGUUGGAAAUGGUGGGGUUGAUAGUGUGGGGUUUGCCGUAUUAACUAUGGGUCUAGAUUAGGUUUUGUAAGAAGGUAAGAUUUGAUCAUUCAUAGUGGAAGGAACAACUAUUAUUACAAAGGUCCUGAGGCAGGGUCAUGUCUGGAAUGUUUGAGGAACAGAAAAGAGGCCAGCAAGGCUAGGGAAGAGUUUGUGAGAGGGAGUGGAAGUAGGGGAAACUAGGGAGGAAAGAGAGGAUAGAUUGUAUAGACCAUUAAAAAUAAUAUGCAGCAGAUUGUGAAGAGAGUCGACCAACAUGGUGACAUAGGAGUGUCCUGAUCUUCCCUCUCCCACAGACACACCAACUAUACAGAUACACGUGAGCAAUUCCCUCUGAAAGAGAUCCAGAAACUAGCUGUAGGACUCUUAUGCAGCUGACAAAUGAGGAGAUACCCACAUCAAAAUGGGUAGGAAAGGCAGAGGCAUACUCUUGCUAUAAACCCCACCCCAACACAGUGCCAUAUAAUUGGGAGGGAAACCCAACUUCUGCCUUCUCCCUGAGGAGCAAAUGAUUUGAACCCUACAUCUAGCUCUCAACUUUUAAGACUCCCACCAGAGGAAUGAGCUCCCCAAACACUUUAUCUCUAAAAGCCAAUAAGGCCUGGUCUCUGAGACUCCCAAGACUACAGCAAACAAACACAAUUCUUGGGAACAGGCAAGCAGUCACUAUGGCUGUUCCAUCAGGGCUCAGCAUGGAGGGACCAGGUGCAAUCACUCAUCUCCCAGUCUUUGCCUGAAAGGGGUUGAUCUAUAUACUUUAAAAGCUGCCGUCAGUGGGCCAGUCUUCUAAUUUAGCAGGCACUAGGGACUGGCUGUGAUCCUCUCUAGAGACCAAGGAAGCUGAAGAACACCUUUCCUACCUUUCAUUUCUUUUUCUUGCCUGGUUUCACUGGCUAGAACCUGCAAUCCUCUGUUGAAUAAAAGUAGUGAGAACAGAUGUUCUUAUCUUGUUCUGAUCUUAGGGAGAAUGCAUUCAGUCUCUCACCAUUAAGUUUGCUGUUAGCUGUAGGGUUUUUUUUUGUAGAUGCUCUUUAUUAGGUGAGAAAAUUUCCUUUUUUAAUCCUAGUUUGCUGAGAGUUCUUAUUUUUUAAACAGAAGUGGGUGUUGCAUUCUGUCAAAAUCUUCUUAGUCUUUUGAGAUGGUCAUAUGAUUUGUCUCGUCUAGAUUGUUAGUAUGAUAAACUGUAUUGUUAGAUUUUUGAGUCAAUUUCUUUCCUGGAAAAAGGCACACUUGGUCAUGGUACAUCAUCAUUUUUACAUAUUGUUAUAUUUGCUAAAUUUUGUUUAAAAUUUUUGCAUGUAUAUUUAUGAGGGGUAUUGAUGUGUAAUUUUCUUUUCUUGUAAUGUCUGGUUUUUGUAUCAGAGUAAGGUGAGCCUCAUAGAAUGAGUUGUGGGAAAUAUUUCCUCACCUUCAAUUUUCCGGGAGAGUGUGUAGAACUGGUAUUGGCAUUAUUUCUUCCUAAACUGUACAGUGAAGCCAUCUGUGUCUAGAGAUUUUUAGUGGGUGGGUUUUAAAAUACAUAUUCUAUUUCUGUAAUAGCUAUAAGGCUAUUAGGUUAUCUAUUUUUUUGGUAUAGAUGAUUUUUAAUAUAAACAGUAAAAUAUAAUGUCUCAACCACAGACCUUUCGUGUUAAAAAGGGUCUCUGACAUGAGCUGCUUUACAUUAUGAGGUGAAAAAGUUUAAGAACCUCACAGUGGAAAUAAUCCAACAGUGAUAAACUCCAGUGAUCAAAGACAUUCUCUUUUAGUUAAUGUGAAGCAAGGACAAUUCACAAUUACAGACAGAAUAUUCUGGCUGUUAGUAUCAUGAAACAGGCUAACUUUCCAGAUGAAAAGGCACUCACAGCUAGGGAUGAAACUAACCUUGAGUGAACUUUGGUAAACUGACAAACAAGGAAAGUGUUCAUUCCACUAUUAUAAUUUUUUGACAUAAAGUUGUUCAUAAUACUUGCUUUUUAUCCUUUUAAUUCUAUAGAAUCCGUGGUGACUUCACAUAUUUCUUUCCUGUAAUGAAUAACCGGUAUUCUCUCUCUCUUUUUUUUCUGGAUUAGUAUAACUAGAAGUUUACCAAUUUGAUUGACCUUCUCAAAGAAUUAGUGUUUGGUUUUGUUGAUAUUCUCUCUUAGUUCUGUUUUCUAUUUCUUUGAUUCUUGCUUUCAUUUUUACUGUUUUAUUUCUUCUGAUUGUUUAAUUUUCUCUUUUCUAGUUUCUUAUGUGGAAGCUGAGGUAAUUGAUUUGAGAACUUUCUUUUUUCGUGUUAUAGACAUCUAAUGCUAUAAAUAUCCCCCGAAUUACUGUGUAAGCAGCAACUCAGAAUUCUGAUAUAUUGGGUUUUAAUUUUCCUUUAGUUCAAAAUAUUUUCUAUUUACUUCUGACUUUUUGUUUUUGACUUAUGGGUUAUUUAUCAGUGAUUUUCAAAUAUUUGAAGAUUUUUCAGAUAACUCAGUUACUGAUUUCUGUUUGGAUAUAUUGUGGUCACAAGGCAUAAUUUUUUAUGACUUGAAUGUAUUUCAAGUUUGAGACUUGCCUCAUGGCUCCAAACAUGGUCUCCUUUUGGUAAAUAUCAUGUGUAUAAUUGAAAAUCAUAUAUAUACAUAUAUAUGUAUAUAUGGUGCUACACCUGGGGCACAUGGAAGUUCCUGGACUGAUGAUCAAAUCUGAGCCACAGUAAUGCCAGACCCUUAACCCACUGCACUGGGUCAGGGAUCCAACCAGAGCCUCCGCAGAGGCAAGCUAGAUCAUUAACCCACUGUGUCACAGCAGAAACUCCUAUUUUGCUGCUUUUGAGGAAAAUAUUCUAUAAAUGUUGAUCAUAUCAAUUUGGUUGAUAGUGUUUAAAAAUACUAUAUCCUUGCUGAUUUUCUUUCUACUUAAUUUUUUCAAUUAUUGAGAGAUGGAUAGUGAAAUAUCUGGUCAUAAUUGUGUACUCGUCAAUUUCUCUUUGCGGUUCUUUUAGGUUUUGCUUAAUAUAAUUUGAAGCUCUCUUAUUAGGUAUGUAAACAUUUAGAUUGCUAGAUCCUCUUAAAAAAUUGACACCUUUGUCAUUAGAAAACAUCCUUCCUUAUUUAUGAUAGCAUUCUUUGCUUUGAAAUCUACUUUGUCUAAUUUAAUAUAACCAUUCCAAAUUUCUUUUGACUUAUAGCAUGGUAUAUCUGUUUUUAUCAGUGAUGAUUAAUUUUAUCAGUGAUACUUAAUUUUAUGUAUCAACGGCACUAGGCUAUGGUGCUGUUCGUUGCUAGGUCAAACACUGUCCAAGUGUUAUGUGAAGGUAUUUUGUAUAUGUGAUUAAUAACUACAACCACUUGACUUUAAGUAAAACAGAUUGUGAGUGGGCCUCAGCGAAUCAGUUGAAGACCUUAAGAGCAAAAAUCGAGGUUUUUCUGGAGAAGACAUAAUUUAUCCCAAGGCUAUAACAAAAAUCCUGUCUGAGUUUCUAGCCUGGCAGCCUGCCCUAUGCACAUCCAACUCAUGGCUGCAACAUUAAUUCUUACCUGAAUCUCCAGCGUGCUGGUUUGCCCUGUGGAUUCUGGACUUGCCAUCUCCCAUGUACAUGUGAGCUAAUUCUCUGAAAUAAGUAAAAAAUAUUUCUGUCUUUGUCUUUGUCUCUCUUGCUUGAUCUAAAUAUCUGUCUGUCUGUCUGUCUGUCUAUCUGUCUGACUAUCUAUCUAUCUAUCUAUCUAUCUAUCUAUCUAUCUAUCUUUGGGUGUAUCUCUCUCUUUUUCUAUCUAGAUAGAAAAAGAGGAAAAAUGGAACAAAGAUAAAAUAGAACUUAAAAAAAAAAAGACAAACCUAAUCCCAACCAAACCAAUAUUAACAUUAAAUUUAGGUAUUUUAAACACCCCAAUUAAAAGACAGAGAUUGCUAAAUUGGAUUAAAAAAAAAAACAAACAAGGAGUUCCCGUGGUGGCGCAGUGGUUAACGGAUCUGACUAGGAACCAUGAGGUUGCAGGUUCGGUCCCUGCCCUUGCUCGGUGGGUUGACGAUCCGGCGUUGCCGUGAGCUGUGGUGUAGGUUGCAGAUGCGGCUCGGAUCCCGCAGUUGCUGUGGCUCUGGCGUAGGCCAGUGGCUACAGCUCCGAUUGGACCCCUAGCCUGGGAACCUCCAUAUGCCACAGGAGUGGCCCAAGAAAUAGCAAAAAGACAAAAAACAAACAAACAAACAAAACAACAACAACAACAACAACAAAAACAAGACUGAGUUGGGUGCUGCCUCAAAUAAUGCAUCUGAAAUAUAAAGGCACAGAUAGCUUAAAAAUAAAAGAAUGUGUAUUAAUUUGAGCUCUCCAGAAAAAACACAACCAUUAGGAUUCCUCCUCCUCCCUCUCUCUCUUUUCACUUUGUCUCUCUCUCUCUCUAACUUUAAAACAGAUGGUCUACUGUGUUACCAGAUUUCUGGUACACAUCCUUUAUUAACCUGAGAUUUUAAAAUAUCAACAGUAAAUGCAGAAUUUUGUUAACAAAAUUUGUUUACAAAAUUUGUUGAAAUGACCACAUGGCAUUCUCAUUUGCAUCCAUGUCUGUGUAAAAUUAGUGUGUGUGUGUAUAUAUUAGUAUAUAUAUAUAUUACUAUCCUUAUUCUGUGUUGGUAUAAAAAUUAGCCUAGAUUCUUAGAAAAAGAUGGAGUGCUUUCUUCUUUUAUAUGCUCUAAAAAUCUUUUUGGCCUCAGUGAUUUUUUUCUGUAGCAAAUUUUUUUUUUUUUUUUUUUUUUUUUUUACAAAUUUUACAUGUUUUUGUAUGGUUAUUAUUCUACCAAUGUUUCCAAAAACUCAAAAAGAUAGUUUUAUUAUAUUUUCCUUUAAACAUUUUUUGAAAUAUAAUUCACAUACCACAAAAUUCACUCAUUGAAAGAAUAUGGUGUAAUGCUUUUAGUAGAUUCAAAGUUUCACAAUGUCAUGGGUUGAAUGAUGCUCCCCUAAAAGACUUAUUUAUCCAGUACCUUGGACUAUGACUUAUUUGGAGUAAGGGCCUUGCAGCUGUCACUAAGGAUCUCAAGAUGAGAUUUCCCUGAAUUAGGGUGUACCCUAAAGUUAGAUUAGUGUCCUUAUAAGAGAUAGGUAAAAGAAGACACAGGGACAUGGGGAAAGCCAUGUGAUGAUGGAGGUAGAGAUUGGAUUAAUGCAUUUUGCAAGCCAGGGAAUGUCAGAGAAAAGGCAGAGCCACAGGAAAAAAGGAGAAAAGCUUAGAAUGAAUUCUCCUUCAGACUCUAGAAGGAACCAGUGGUGCUGAGACCUUAAUUUCAGACUUCUAGACUCUAGAGCUGUGAAAAAAAAUGCAGGUCUAUUGUUUUGAGCCAUCAAGUUUGUGGUAAUUUGUUUUAGCAUCCGUAAGAGACAAAUAUACAUUUUGGGACUGGAAAGUGAAGGGCAGCUUUAAGAAAGACAUGAUAGAAAGAGCUUGGCUUGGGAAUUCCCUGGUGUUGCAGCAGAUUAAGGAUCUGACGUUGUCAUGGCUGUGGCUCAGGUUGCUGCUGCGGUACAGGUUCAAUCCCUGGUCCAAGAAGUUCUGCAUGCUGUGGGUACGGCCAAAAAAAA
rnacentral:lncRNA from 1 species